rnacentral:tRNA from 1 species
GAGGGCGCCAUAAGACCUGCUAACUCUUUAAUCUGGGGCUAACUCCCAGCACCCUC